rnacentral:rRNA from 1 species
AGAGUUUGAUCCUGGCUCAGGACGAACGCUGGCGGCGUGCUUAACACAUGCAAGUCGAGCGAGAAAGCUACCUUCGGGUAGUAAGUAAAGCGGCGGACGGGUGAGUAACGCGUGAACAAUCUGUCCCUAAAUUGAGGAUAACCUGAUGAAAGUUGGGCUAAUCCUGAAUGAUCUAUAAGUGUGAUAACACACAUAUAGCAAAGGUGGUUUUGCCAUCGUUUAGGGAGGGGUUCGCGUCGGAUUAGCUAGCUGGUAAGGUAAGAGCUUACCAGGGCGACGAUCCGUAGCUGGUCUGAGAGGACGAUCAGCCACACUGGGACUGAGACACGGCCCAGACUCCUACGGGAGGCAGCAGUGGGGAAUCUUUCACAAUGGACGCAAGUCUGAUGAAGCAACGCCGCGUGAGUGAGGAAGGCCUUUUAGGUUGUAAAGCUCUGUUGCCGGGGAAGAAAGUUA